UACGUAGGUCCCGAGCGUUGUCCGGAUUUAUUGGGCGUAAAGCGAGCACAGGUGGUUUAUUAAGUCUGGUGUAAAAGGCAGUGGCUCAACCAUUGUAUGCAUUGGAAACUGGUAGACUUGAGUGCAGGAGAGGAGAGUGGAAUUCCAUGUGUAGCGGUGAAAUGCGUAGAUAUAUGGAGGAACACCGGUGGCGAAAGCGGCUCUCUGGCCUGUAACUGACACUGAGACUCGAAAGCGUGGGGAGCAAACAGG
rnacentral:rRNA from 1 species